rnacentral:lncRNA from 1 species
UCUGAGUUCAAUAGCAAGUUUAGUGAGAUGAUCCUUGAGAAUGCCCUCAGCCCUCUCAACCUUACCCAAGGAUUGGGGUUGGUGGGGGAUGUGGAGCCUCCAAGUGAUGUUGAGGCAUUUGGAGACUAGUUGAAUUACCUGAGAAGUGAAGGCCGGACAAUUGUCUGACUGGAUGGAGGUGGGAAGUCCAAACCUGGGAAUGAUCUGCUCAAUGAGGAUGGAGGGGACAGUGUCAGAAGUUUCCCUGGAGGUAGGGAAGGCUUCUAUCCAACUGUAAGAGAGUGCUAUCCCCAAGUCACAAGCAGCUAAAUCCUGUGUCAAGGCCUGACCAAAGAGGUAGGGACUGUCCAUGUCAGCUGUUGAGACCUAAAGGAGGUAGGGUCUUCCCAUGUGAAGGCAAAGAGGUAAUAAGAGUCAGGAUGGAGGGGCACUGUAAAGAAGGCAUCUUUAAGAUCCAGGACAGUAAAGUGAGUGGUCAAAGGGAGGAUAUGAGAAAGAAGAGUGUAAGUGUUGGGAACCACCAGGCAUAUGAGAAUAAUGGCCUCAUUAAUUAGGCGGAGGUCCUGGACUAAGUGACAGGCUUCUUAGGGUUUGCACACCGGCAAUAUGGGAGUGUUAUAGGGGGAGUCUUGGGGACUGGAAGGAAAUUUAGUUUGGGCUUUCAGCUGGGUUUGGACUGGCUUGUGGUAGGAGGCUAUGACCGGUGUGGAGAUGUCCCAGACCUGGGGAUCCACUAGAUCAGGGGGCAAUUGCACAGUAGGUACUGUCAUGUUAUUACAGAGGUUAAGGAUUAGAGGAAGAAGGAGAUGGGUGGUAGUAUUCUUGGGGUAUAGUUGGAGGGUGGCUCCUAGUAAUUGGAGAACAUCUCUGCCUAGGAGAGGAACCAGACAAGAUGGAAUUACCAGAAAAGAGUGAGUGAAUGGGUGUCCUUCCAGGGCACAGUCCAGCUUAGCAGUUCGGUUUGGGGAAGAGGGUUUUUCAUCAAUCCCCAUAACUGAGACCUGGGAAUAAAACAGGCCUAGAGUGGGCAGGCAAGACAGAAUAGGCAGCCCCCGUGUCUACAAGUAAGGUUAUGGACUUACCUGCUGCCUGGAGUGUUACCCUGGGCUCGGUGAAGGUGAUGGGGGUCCUCGAGUCUGGGCUUCUUCAGUCUUCUGAGUACCCCAAUAGUUCAAGAGAAGGGACCUCAUGACUGGUCAUACCCCUUCGUAGAGGCACUAAGGAAGGUCUAGCCAUGGGACAAUAACUCUUCCAAUGUCCUGUCUGCUUACAGGUGGGGCAUGGCCUGGAAGGAGGCCUUGGGUUUGGGCAUUGGCAAGCCCAGUGACCUUCACAUCCACAUUUGAGGCAAGCUCCUGGUGGAGAGGAAUGCUCGUUCCCUGUGAAGCUGUUGCUGGAGACUUAGGUCUCAGGGCCACUAGCAAGGCCUGGGUUUGGGGUGUUACCUUUUUCUGCAAUGGAGCCUGCUUUAAAGGCCAUUUCCACCAGAUCUCAGAUAGGAAUCUGAGGGUCCUCCUCAGGUCAUUUGAGCUUUUUCUAAUAUCAUGAACCAGUUGAGUAAUGAAAUGGGUUGUUAACACUGUAGCCCAGGUGGGAGACUCAAGAUCCAGCCUAGUGUAUUUGGUUAGGGCCUCUGUAAGGUGGUUGAGAAAUAAGGCUGGAUUUUCAUCUGGAUUCUGGGAAAGAUCUUGAAGAAUGGGAUGUGUAUUCGAAUGUUCCCUUUAGCAGCAGC